UCAGUCAUGGGAUCGUACGCUGCAAGAUGCUGCCAACUACGUUGGUUAAUUCUGGGAGCCAGGGCAAUGGUGUGCUGAGCCCCAGAGAUGCUGCGAGGCACACGGCCGGAGCGAAACGCUACAAGUACCUCCGGAGGCUCUUCCACUUCCGACAGAUGGACUUCGAGUUUGCGCUUUGGCAGAUGCUUUACCUGUUCACUUCACCACAGAGGGUUUACAGGAACUUUCACUACAGGAAACAGACAAAGGACCAGUGGGCGAGAGAUGAUCCUGCUUUCCUAGUGCUGCUCAGUAUCUGGCUCUGUGUGUCUACUGUAGGAUUUGGAUUUGUAUUGGACAUGGGUUUUUUUGAAACAAUAAAACUGCUACUUUGGGUUGUAUUCAUAGACUGCGUAGGCGUUGGGCUCCUGAUUGCAACUCUGAUGUGGUUCAUUUCAAAUAAGUACUUAGUGAAGCAGCAGAACAGAGAUUAUGAUGUGGAGUGGGGAUAUGCCUUUGAUGUGCAUCUGAAUGCUUUCUAUCCUCUUCUAGUCAUCCUGCAUUUUAUCCAGCUGUUCUUCAUCAACUAUGUCAUCAUAUCUGAUUCUGUCAUUGGGUAUUUUGUUGGGAACACAUUAUGGCUGAUUGCAAUCGGCUAUUACAUCUAUGUGACAUUCCUAGGAUACAGCGCAUUGCCCUUUUUGAAGAACACAGCUAUUCUUUUGUAUCCAUUUGCACUUCUCAUCAUGCUCUAUUUGAUCUCAUUAGCAUGUGGAUGGAACUUCACCAAGAUGCUUUGUUCCUUUUAUAAAUACAGAGUGAAAUAAAACCAGAACUUCAUGUAUCUAAUGUUUAUUUUGUUUGUACUGUAGCCAUUUUGACAGUAAAGAAAAAAUUAAGAACAUUUUGUAAAUGGUUGUAAAUUUCUCUUUAUUGUAGAUAAUUGUGUAAAAAAGUUUGAAGUGUCCUUUUUUAUUAAAAUAUUUACAACAGUAAACAUGUUAGCAAUUUUGUUCAAAUACUUUCGCAGUACAUUCCUAAAAACAAGUUACUUGUACAUUUCUGUAGCUUAAAUUUAAUUGCAACAAGUCUAUGUAGCAUAACUCUUACUGCAGAUACUUUGCACAUACUGGCAUAAGCUCUACAUUAUGAGGGGUUUUAAGUGACACCAAAAAGCAGUUUUCUUGAAGAGUAAUAUUGGAAUACCUUGCCUUGGGACUGUGUGAAAGUACAGAUCUUAAUAGUGUUGCGAUGGUAAAGCAACAACUGUCUCUAGAUACAGAUCUGUCCUCUCCUUGUAUGAAAGAUUGUGAGAACAGAUUUACUUCAGUGACUACUUCAAAUAUAUGUGGACAACUCUGGCACACAGGAAAAACAGUGAUGAAAGGCACAAUUAACAUGACCCAUACCAGGUUUCCAAAGAUAGCAGCAAGUUUUUAAACCCAAUCUCUGGCAGUCCAGUGGGUAUUACUACAUCCACCAUUCUGAGUGGCAGGUCAAUGAAUAUGGAAGGAACGUACAAGUUGGUUUGGCUACAAGGGUGGGCUCAUGGCAAUGCCUGCAGCUCUGAAGUCCACAAGGCAGAAGUAGAAACUGACCAUCACAAACAAUACCUUAUGGAAGGUGAAGAUGACAGCUUUCCAAUGCAGUGUUCAGCAUGAAACAUGAGCACUAGGAUUCAGUUUCCAAAACAACACGAGAGUAAACUGGUUACAUUAAGACAAUUUCAAUACUAGAAUUUGAUCUCUAAGGAAAACUAUAAUUUAUAUUAAAAUACCAAAUACGCUGGCAGUGCAUCUUACAGUACUGUGUGUUUCAGCCACUGUUAAGGCUUGAAGAGAUUCAUGUUUCCCUCUCAGCAGAUGCUGAGCAACGUUCUCCUUUAAACAAGGAAAGCAGUGAUCUGCUGAUCCAGAGAAGGUGAAGGAUUCCAGUCAGGAUCUGCUCACUCCCUGGCUAACAGCACGAGCUCCCGUCCUGCAGGCAGCUGCAGCCUAACUGUACACCUUUUCCCUAACAGGAAUCCUAGCAUCACUGAUCAUCCACUUCAGUUCAACAGUAAAAAUACUUCUUAUUCAGUGCCCUGUAGUGCGAUACUGUUGAAGGACUCAGGGCCUGUGUACCUUCCCUUUAGAGAGAUCAAUGUUUUUCUCCUUGAAAGAAGGCUUCAUUAUUAUCAAAAUUAAACUACUUUAACUUCAGCAGUUCACUCUUUACAGCAGAACUUAGCAAAACCCUUCAGAGACCACUAAGGUCAGAAAGGUGACAUGUGAGGACUUAAUGACCAGGUCUCCAUGGGCUGUGUGUUUUACAUCAGCAAUCAAUGCUAGCCUGAAAACACCAGUUGUUUAAUAGCUUUUCAGCCUUAUGCUGGUGAUUGUAAAGAUGAUUUAAAAACACAAAGACUUUUUUUUUUCCCAUUUCUAGCUAGAGUUACUUGUUCCAGCUUUUUCAGAAUACAUCCUUCCUAGUAAGAACAAACGUAGAACCUUGGGUUCAUGUAUUUUAGGGAAGCAAGGUUUGAGAACAUUUAAUUUUUCUGUUCCCCCCACAAGACUAACAUAAUACUUUCCAAGUUGGAGGCGAACGACAAAUUACUAUGAUACUUCAUCUGGAGCAAGUACUUCAAACAAAAUACAGAGAUUACUUAAAUUAUAAUAUAUCUGGGAAAAAAAAGAAACACAUACAGUUUCCAAAUUUUUCCAAAAUCACACUUCAGCUGAUUCAAGGAACUAUGUUUCCCACAGGCAAAAUAUAAAUUGCUUUGCUCAAAGCUGACUCAAGGUAUUUAAAAACUGCUUUGAAACAGCUAGACAAGCAGUGAUAUGACAGAAGACUCCAGUCUUUUCUUGGUCCGUGAAUCACAUCACUAUCUGAUUUUUUCUAAGCCAUCUUUAAGUACAGAAAAAAGCAAUAUAUCCAUAAGAAUUUUUUUCCAUCAAUGAAAACACACAAUUGAGAUGCCUGCAAAAGCUCAAAGCCUUAUACAGUGCUUUAGAAACACUCUAAUUAUCACAUCCUGUUCACAUUAUUUACAAAGUUUUCAGUAGGAUGACCCACUGAAUGAGCAAAGCAAGGUUAUACUGACAGGCUUGUGUUUCCUUGGUCCCAAGCAAUCCUGAUCAGCUCAGAAAAGCAAAUGCUCGUAUCAGCCAGUCUGUUUGGCAUCCAGUAUAAGAAGUUCAUUUGCCCAGAUAAUGAAGGUUUCUGGAUAGGAGCAUAGGACAGUGCAGGGUGUUUUUUAACACUUGCCAUUAUUGGAUAACUCUAAGAUUCAGCAGCCUCAAGGGAAUUUUUAAGGUUACAACAAAAAUUACUUGAAUACAUGUAGGGAAAAACUCCUCAAAACAGGUAAUAGGUUUAAGAUCUCUUACGCUAACACUGUCCCAUACAAUGGAGACGUGCAGGAGACACUGGCCCACUGGUGCACCACUUUAGCCUGACUUGUAGAUUGGAAUUUAAAGGUACAAAACCCCAAAAUAGCUGUCUGCAGAAAUAAUCCACCUGAUUACACCAACUCUGAAUUUACCUGGAUCUAUGAAAUAUAAUUUGUAUUAAUGUGGCACAUUUAUCUAGAGAGCCUGUAAGCUCAGGAACAUUGAAAGUAUUGAAGCAGCCCAGAGUAUUUUCAACAUUGCCACUACAAUGUAAUAAAAUGCAUCAAUCUUUAGAAAACAAGCCACAUUUUGCCAUACACUAGUUUAAUUUGUUGUCUUGGAUAAAUUUCUUCUCAACAUUUUUGAAAACUAAAUAUACUACUAACCAGUCUUGCAAUCAAUGUGGUAUGGAUUCUAUGUAUUUAAAUAUAUCAGCAGUGAUUCAUCUUAAGUACUGUGAAACAUCAGGAACACCGAUGCUUUGAGAAUAAGCACACAGCUUUCUUAUUUAAAUGGCACCAAUAAAUUUCUGGACUCAUGGAAACAUGGAAAAGGUCACUGUCAGCAAAACUAGUUAUAGUAAGAAACUGCAAUAUCUACUGUAUUUCUGCAGUCUGGAUUGUAAUAAAUAACCCUAGUUUCCAUAAUUUGCAUCAUUCAUUCACAGACACAGCUGAGAAGAAAACCUAAAUACUUUCUCAGAGCUUUACUAGCUGAUGUGUGAUAAAAAGCCAUUGCAUGUCAGUAAUUUGAUGGAAGCAUUAUACAGGAAACAAACAGGGCUGUAGCACCACAAUAUGCUAGAGUCACACAGGAUUCAGAGCCUAGUUACCCACAUUCCUAAAUCCCAGAAUAAGCUUCAUUUAUGUGACCAGUGCUUAGCUUAUGCUCUCAAUGUCUAUGGGCAACAGAAGCUUUCCAAGUAACAUUUUAUUUACACCAUCUGAUGCAAUCAGAAAAAGUAAACAAGGUCCACUUGGUAUCUAAUUUUUCUUGAACUUACACCAGUCAGUCUAAACAGAAGGUCUUAACCUCUGCUUACAAAUCUUGUCUUCCCUGUGUCUCCAGACUACAUAGCUAAACCAAAAUGACAAGUCUGUAGAAGUAGCUAAGUUCUUCAACUUGAAUAUUGCUGAAUUGUCAAAGCUAUGGCACAAUUCUCCAACAAGGCAGAAGAGAAGACAAGUUGACACUAUAACCCAGCAGUGAGGGUGGCAUGAUGGAGAGGCAGGCUUAGGCUCCUGCUCCUUAUAAACAUAUCAUGAAAGAGAGGCCAAAUCUAUCAGCCAAACUUUAAUGAGGAAGUACAAGUUCAAGACCCCUGCUCUAGAUCAGGGAACCUGCAACAGGUUUUGUGCAUCUGUGCCCUGAUCACAAAGACAAUAAAGGUAAUUUCCAACUUAAGUGAUUCCAUGACUCUGUGUUGGGGGGAGCAGAGUGUGGUUUUUUCCACAGGGAAAGCUGGCCAGCUUUUGAGAUGUCAGUUCCAGGAGGCUGGUUCACAGCACAACUGACAAUACCCAAGCCAUCAUGGAUGCCUCCCUCCAAUGUCAAUCAGGCACUUCAUUCCUAUUAAAGGGAGGAAUUCCUGCCUCUCUUUCACCUAUCCAUUUCUGACUAACUGAAUUUUUCUCAUGCCUGUGUCCUUACACAUAAGCACCUAAGCAGAAGGACUCUUAAAAAAAGCAGCAGCAUUAGUGCUGCAACAGUUCCACUCUGAUUGUAAUCCAGACCACGUUCUGUUCCUGACUGAAUUUCUGAUUCAUUUAAGAUCACCCUUGUUUCCCUUGAAACGAAAAGGCAGGGUACUAACUUGAGGCCAAAUUCCUACUAUAAAGUUAGUGCGAGUUACCAUACUGAUUCAUAAAGGAGUCAAACUAAGACCGACGGAAGAAAAUAAACUGUAACUACUCACUAAGGUAUCCAAAAUAAACACUGCAAUAACAGAACUUUUAAAAAGGAGGCCUCUGUAAAUCAAAUGUAUCUACUGUUCAUUCUUUUGAUAAAAGGUAACCUCUUGUUACUCCAAAGCAAAGCUGGAGAAUGAUUUUCUUCAGUACGGAAAAUGAAUUUGUUCAGCCUAGGAAAUGUUUACAAAUAUUUUUAGAAAGAACCGGUUUGGAGUAAAAAAAAAAUCUUCUAAAAUGCAAUGGAUUCUAUCUAAAAUCACUGCAGAUUUAGUACAUAAUAUGAAACAAGACAUCUCAACAUGCUUUUCAUGUUUGUGGCUACAAACUAUACAUAGUGGAAUUUCAUAGCCCCAAAGAAUAAUGCUCUUCAGAACUCUAUUUAUGCCUCUGAACAUCAUUCAGAUUCUGUGUAUAAAACUACAUAAUUUAGAAACUUAAUCUUGUUUUUUUAAACAUGGCAGUAUAUUUGAAAUAUGGUAUUAAUUUAUGUUCGCAUCUCCAAAGAAAAAUGUAGAAAGAUAACUUAAACUAGAGAAUUCAUAAAAAAACUAUAUCAAUUUAAAAUUUUACUG